UCGAAGCAGUCUAUGUCAUACUUCCAAGAAAAGCUUGCACUGUCAUAACAAAGAAUGCCUGUACCAUAACCGACACAGGUGGGUAGGUAGAGUAUACUAAGGGGCGCGAGAUAACUCUCUCUAAGGAACUCGGCAAAAUGACUCCGUAACUUCGGGAGAAGGAGUGCCUUAUUUCUAAGGUUGCAAUAACAAGAUACAAGCAACUGUUUACCAAAAACACAGGUCUCCGCUAAGUCGUAAGACGAUGUAUGGGGGCUGACGCCUGCCCAGUGCCAGAAGGUUAAAGAAGUUGGUUAGCAUUAGCGAAGCUGAUAACUGAAGCCCUGGUGAACGGCGGCCGUAACUAUAACGGUCCUAAGGUAGCGAAAUUCCUUGUCGGGUAAGUUCCGACCCGCACGAAAGGCGUAAUGAUUUGGAUACUGUCUCGGAGAGGGGCUCGGUGAAAUAGACUUGUCUGUGAAGAUGCGGACUACCUGCACCUGGACAGAAAGACCCUAUGAAGCUUUACUGUAACUUGAGAUUGAAAUGGGACUUUAUUUGCGCAGUAUAGGUGGGAGGCGUUGAGAAUAAUCUUGCGGGAUUGUUGGAGCCAUCAGUGAGAUACCACUCUUGUAAUGUUAGAUUUCUAACUUUGUAUCAUUAUCUGGUCAAAGAACAGUUUCAGGCGGGCAGUUUGACUGGGGCGGUCGCCUCCCAAAGGGUAACGGGGGCGCACAAAGGUUUCCUCUGAACGGGUAAAAAUCGUAUCUAGAGUGUAAAGGCAUAAGGAAGCUUGACUGUGAGACCUACAAGUCGAGCAGGGACGAUAGUCGGUCUUAGUGAUCUGACGGUGCUGAGUGGAAAGGCCGUCACUCAACGGAUAAAAGUUACUCUAGGAUAACAGGCUGAUCUCCCCCAAGAGUUCACAUCGACGGGGAGGUUUGGCACCUCGAUGUCGGCUCAUCGCAUCCUGGGGCGGUAGUCCGUCCCAAGGGUUGGGCUGUUCGCCCAUGAAAGCGGUACGCGAGCUGGGUUCAGAACGUCGUGAGACAGUUCGGUCCAUAUCCGGUGUAGGCGUUAGAAUAUUGAGAGGAGCCUUCUCUAGUACGAGAGGACCGAGAAGGACAUACCUCUGGUGUACCAGUUAUCGUGCCAACGGUAAACGCUGGGUAGCUAUGUAUGGAGUGGAUAACCGCUGAAAGCAUCUAAGUGGGAAGCCCACCUCAAGAUAAG
rnacentral:rRNA from 1 species